rnacentral:rRNA from 1 species
AACUAACGCUGGCGGCGCGCCUAAUACAUGCAAGUCAAACGGGUAGCAAUACCAGUGGCGCACGGGAGAGGAACACGUGGAUAAUCUACCUUCGAGAGAAGAAUAACCAGUCGAAAGAUUGGCUAAUACUUCGUAAGACCACAGGGGCUAAUGCCCAAGGGGUAAAAGUAGUAAUACGCUUGAAGAUGAGUCUGCGUCCCAUUAGCUAGUUGGUGAGGUAAUAGCUUACCAAGGCGACGAUGGGUAGCUGGUCUGAGAGGAUGAUCAGCCUCACUGGAACUGACACACGGUCCAGACUCCUACGGGAGGCAGCAGUAGGGAAUAUUGCACAAUGGAGGAAACUCUGAUGCAGCGACGCCGCGUGAGUGAUGAAGGACUUCGGUUCGUAAAGCUCUGUUCUUAGGGAAUAAAAAAAUGAAUGUACUUAAGGAGAAAGCACCGGCUAACUUCGUGCCAGCCGCCGCCGUAA